UGAGAUGUGGUUAAGUCCCGCAACGAGCGCAACCCUCGACCUUAGUUGCCAGCAUUCAGUUGGGCACUCUAAGGUGACUGCCGGCUAAAAGUCGGAGGAAGGUGGGGAUGACGUCAAAUCAUCAUGCCCCUUAUGACCUGGGCUACACACGUGCUACAAUGGGCGGUACAAAGGGUCGCGAACCGCGAGGGGGAGCCAAUCCCAAAAAAGCCGCUCUCAGUUCGGAUUGCAGGCUGCAACUCGCCUGCAUGAAGCCGGAAUCGCUAGUAAUCGCGGAUCAGCAUGCCGCGGUGAAUACGUUCCCGGGCCUU
rnacentral:rRNA from 1 species